rnacentral:misc_RNA from 1 species
AAGUCGUAACAAGGUAACCGUAGGUGAACCUGCGGUUGGAUCAUUAACAAUGCAAUCAGGCUACCCUGGUCGAGCUUUUCAAGUUCUCAGGAUCCUGAUAUAUUGCUACCCAUUCUCUGUGCACCGUAAACUGUCUCUGGCGGUCGUAGGAGUAACUAAGAAAUCUUUAGUUGCUUCUCUAGUUCAUUUGCCCGUAAGGAAAGCAGAUGAAUGAAGCCGCCAAACGGGUUUAAAACACUCUUGUAUUUGUUUUAUUUUUAUUAUUUUUUUUUGUCUGAGACAAAAGUGCCAUUUUUGGUAUGGCAAAAAAUGCGCUUUCAUAAACAACUUUUGGCAACGGAUCUCUUGGCUCUC